rnacentral:lncRNA from 1 species
GGCACUGUCUGGCCGGGGACCAGGGCCAACUCACUGACUGUCUGUUGUUUUGGGAAACACCCAAGAACACAUUUUGAGAAACGUGAAAGUAGAAAAUAUUUCAAAACAAAAAGCACGGGGAAACCCGUGCCCACACCCAUCCCCUCAGCCUCCAAGCUCUGUACUGGGUUGCUAUGCUGUGGCUGCAGCCCUGCUUUUCUUCCCUGACUGCAGGGGUGCUGGGUCCUGCUUCUGCCACCCUGGCCACCGUUGCAGUCCCACUUUCUCUAGGACCUGCCUGAGUCAGGUGAUCUGACAAGCGGCUUCUCUUUCUUCAGGAGGUGAGGUCGGCAGACUAGGAUUCCUGAGCAAACCAGGAAAGUUCCAUCCUGCUAGUAUCCAGGAUGUGGGGCUGGGCAAAGGCCAGGCCGCAGCCCACUUCGGGCCCAAAUGGAAGAUGAUGUCAGAGGGAGCCAGGGAGUGUUUCCACCGAGUGACUCUUCCCAAUGUCUGUGGCUGGCAAAAUGGUUAGCCUGGCCCAGUAUCGUCACAGAGGAAUAGAAGCAGCUGGGUUUCCAGGUCACGAGAGAGGAGACAGGGUUUCUCUGUGUACACUGGCCUGGAACUCACAGAGAGACGGUAUCACAAAAGUAAAACAUACAGAGACUGACUGGACCUGACCUUUGCCCUUCACAUAUGCAUGCACAGUUUCAGAGGUUUGGUCCAUUAUCGUCAUGGCAGGAAGCAUGGUGGCACACAGGCAGACACGGUGCUGGAGAAAGAGCUGACCGUUCUCUAUCUGGAUUCUCAGGCAGCAGGAAGAGAGAGCGAGGGCGCUGGGACUGGACUCAAGCUUUUGAAACCCCAAAGCCCACCCACCUGCAUUGACACACUUUCUCCAUUAAGGCCCCACCUCCUAAUGCCACUCCAUAAGCAC